UUGUCUAUAGGGUGCCUAUGGGGUAUCUCUGGGGUGUCUCUGGGAUGCCUAUGGGGUAUCUCUGGGGUGUCUCUGGGGUGUCUAUAGGGUGCCUAUGGGGUAUCUCUGGGGUGUCUCUGGGGUGCCUAUAGGGUGUCUAUGGGUGUCUCUGGGGUGCCUAUAGGGUGUCUAUGGGUGUCUAUAGGGUGUCUAUGGGUGUCUAUAGGAUGUC